AUGCUGGCUUAAGAGAUAUAGAAAACAUAUUACAAUAUACUAAAUAUAAAUAACAUACAAAUUGGUUUGGGUGAACUUCAGACCAUGAUUUAUUUGCAUAAUACAUAAUUAUAACAGAGUAAAAUAACAAUAAGCAAUAUCAUUAUUUUUUGUAGUUAAAACUUAAACUAUGGUCCUCCUACUACACUAAUCACUAUACACUACAAGUUAACAAAUACUAAAACUACACAUAAAUAGAUUUAAUGGUGAAUGAUGAUUUGAGGGUGGGCGGGUGGGAAAUCUCAGGUUAGAGAAAUCCUGCUGCUGAAGCUUUGCUAGAAAAUUCUGAAGUGACCAGCAUGUAGGAGGGGAACAGUCUGCUGACUGUUUCCCCUAUGGGGGUUCACUCUAGCAGGGAAGUGUCCAUCCCAUUGGUCAAACAGAUUACAUAUAACCAAAUUUAGUCAUCUGCUAUUUGAUCAGGGUGAGGCCUGCUUUAUGUAAUGUAUGUGGCCCUGUUCACAGUUGGUGUCCCAGAUGCCAGCUGACCCUUUAUUUACACAACUGUAGCAGUUAAUGUAAAGCAAGCUGGACCCCUACUAGUGAGGGAUCUGGUUACUGGUGUAAUGAGAUCUAGACUCCCUUGUAAUUUUAUGCAGAUAAAAUUGCCCACCACUCAAAGUAUUAAUAACAUAUUAAACUAAAUUAAUAUUCUCA